UCAGUAAAUGUACACAGACAUUCAAUUUCGUUCUCUUCAUUUUAGACAUAAUGCGUAACUGAUUAUUUUUUUAGCACACUGAUCGAUAUCUCGGUAAAAUAAUCUUCUUUUUUUUUAACUAGCGGGGCAGUGAAAUCUUUGCUUUGUGCUAAAGUCAACAGUGACAGAGUUUGAGCUCAAAUAAAUGCCGUGAUGUCUCCAGCCCUUUGCAGAAGGCUGAAGGCGAGGUUCCACAUUGGGCUCCUAGCUUGCCAGUAAGCAUCCACCGUAUUUCACAGCAGGGCUCUGCUGGGGAGGGCUCCAUGGCUGUGCUGUCAGAGAGGUUCCUUCAGAGAGAAGAGGGAUAGGAAGGAGAGGAAGCCACAACGAGAAGAGGAGCGGUUCGAAAAGGAGAAGCAGAUGGAUCUGCCACCACACACAAUGUCCCUUCUGUUGUGGGCUGUGCUGUGACCACCCCAUGGCAGCGGCCAGAUGGAGGUGGAAUGGGACCAAUGGGAUCAAUGAGGUGAUGCCUACAAUCUUCUCCCUGCAUCACCUCAGAUCCACAGACACAGAACCACAAAGGCACUUUCCUCUCUGAGUACUUGUCUACCUGGCUACGUCUGCGUCUGACCUGUCUGGAUCUAUGAAAUAUCAAAGCUUGUGUCAGGCAGCGUGAAUAGGGAGAGAGAGGCACCAUUAAUGAUUAACUGUUCUAAAAGCCUAUCAGGCAGGCCAUGUGACAUGCUCGCAGCAUUUUUUGAGCAGAUUGGGGGAAGCUAGUCAGCAAACACAGGUGCUUUGGACUGGAGUCGCCGACGCUGUCAGGGACAACCACAAACAAGAGCAGCACUGCCGAGCUAAAUGAGAGCCCACCCACUUUACUUACUCCCUGGCUAGCUUAGCUUAGUCACUGACUGCAGUGGCUGGAGAUCCUCACCAGAGACCAAGUCCAAUGUCCCCCCCCCAGUGUUCCAUAACCUUUCACAAAAACAAAUCAAACGGGACGAUUGGAGUCGCUGUGGUCUCAAGCAUCGGGGAAAGCAAACAAAUGAAUUGUGUUCCAGUUCUCACUUUCUAAAACAAACCAAAUGUGGGUUGAACACUUGUUCUUGAGAAUAGUGGAGGCAAUGAGAGAUAUUCCGAAAGGUGUUCAGAAAUAUGCAGGAUGACAAACUGAUUCUCAGGAAAUGGAGUGGUUGAUUUGAUAGUUUCAUUAAUGUUUCAUGACAGGUGGAUGACGAAUAGAUCAUAAAGACACAAAAGCAUUUUUUCUGUCAACAAAGUAGACUGUUUUGUUGUCCUGAUUUUGUUUAGAUUUUUCUGGAGUUGUUUUCAAGGUUUUAUAAACACGGUCUAGGUCCAGACA